AAUCGGAAAACAGGAAAACUAAUAUUAAAUCGAAUAUAAAUAACAGAUGGAAGGUAUCACUACACUUGCCGCACAACAGUAGAUUUCAGGGGCAUAAGGAAAACAUCUGGGAGUGUGUGUGACAAAAGUGCCAGAACUAACGGGAGCUUCUAUUAAAUGUUUAUCCCAGGAAAGCUUUCCGCACCAAUUAACGCCGUUCUGAGUUAUUCAGCGUCGGCAUCAUCGUCGCCACACAAUUUCAGCUGAUAACACACAUUAAUGUAGUCACUCUUAAAUUUUGUUUACCGAAUUGAGAAAUUCUGGCAUUGACAUUUACGUAGCCAAUAAAACCAGCAUUUUGUUGAUAAAGCAUUUAUAUAUAAUCGCGUUAAGCGAAAGUGCAAGCGCAGGCUAAUUUUUUUGUAGUCGCGAAAGCCUAUAAUUACGAUUACACCACAGCUUAGCAUUCUGUCAGCAGAUAACACUCAGUUCGCUUGUUGAGUCGGAACCAUCAGUAGGGAAAGUGAACUAAGAUAUGUCGGUAUAGCCGGUGGAAUUGUCAAAAGUGGCUUUUCCCAGUAUAUCAGCUGUUUAGCCAUUUAUCUCUCUGAAUUCAUUCAGAUACUUUGUACAUAUACAUAUAAUCGCCUUAAUAGAUACUAGGUUUGUACAUAAAAGCGUGUACCAAAAAGGCAGUGGCUGUGGAAACCUCAGCGAAACCAAUUAAAGAACGUCAUAAAUAAUUGUACUGUAUUGUAAAUAUUUUGCUGUCUGUGAUGCGCAAUUGCUUUGUCAAUUAUUUUAAGUUAUAUUGAAAUUAGAUUUAAUGCUAUAUAUAAUUUAAAUAACAAAAGUAUACAAAAACACAUGACUUGCGGAAUGCUUUACUCGCCUCGUCAAUUUGUGUCGUUAUUAAUAAGUCCGCUAAUUAUUUUAAAUAAACCUGAAUAAAAGCAACAAAAACGCAUAAAUUAUCAGUUCUUCCAAAA
rnacentral:sRNA from 1 species